GCGAACGCUGGACUGGCAGGCCCUAACACAUGCAAGUCGAGCGGCCGUAGCAAUACAGCAGCGGCUUGCAGACGGGGAGAGUAACACGUGGGAACGCGCCCUUCGGUUCGGGAUAACCCAGGUGGAAACUUAGGGCUAAUACCGGAUACGCCCUUUACGGGGAAAAGAUUUAUUGCCGAAGGCAACGGCUCCGCGUCCGAUUAGCAUAGUUGGUGAUGGUAAGGGCUCACCAAGGCGACGAUCGGUACGAUGGUCUGAGAGGAUGACCAGCCUCACUGGGACUGAGACACGGCCCAGACUCCUACGGGAGGCAGCAGUGGGGAAUAUUGGACAAUGGCGCAAGCCUGAUCCAGCCAUGCCGCUGUGGGUGAUGAAGGCCCUAGGGUUGUAAAAGCCCUUUCAGCGGGGAAGAUAAUUGACUGUACCCGCAGAGAAGAAGCCCCGGCUAGACUUCGUGCCAGCAGCCGCGGGUAAUAACGAAGGAGGGCUAGCGUUGCUCGGAAUUUACUGGGCGUAAAGCGCACCUGUAGGCGGCAUUUCCUAAGUCGGGGGUGAAAUCACUGGAGCUCAACUCCAGAACUGCCUUCGAUACUGGAAAGCUCGAGUCCGGGAUGAGGUCGUGAGUGGAACUGCGAGUUGUAGAGGUGAAAUUCGUAGAUAUUCGCAAGAACAUCCAGUGGCGAAGGCGGCUCACUGCCCUGGUACUGACGCUGAGGGUGCCGAAAGCGUGGGGAGCAAACAGGAUUAGAUACCCUGUGUAGUCCACGCCGUAAACGAUGGAUGCUAGCCGUUGGCGAGCUUGCUCGUCAGUGGCGCAAGCUAACGCUUUAAGCAUCACGCCUGGGGAGUACGAGUCGCAAAGAUUAAAACUCAAAGGAAUUGACGGGGGCCCGCACAAGCGAGUAGGAGCAUGAUGGUUCAAUUCGAAGCAACGCAGCGCAACCUUACCAGCCCUAUUGACAUGUCCUCUAUGUGAUUCCCAGAGACGGAGUCCUUCACUUCGGGUGGGAGGAACACAGGUGCUGCAUGGCUGUCGCCUCAGCUCGUGUCGUGAGAUGUUGGGUUAAGUCCGCAACGAGCGCAUAGCCUCGCCCUUAGUUGCCAUAUUUAGUUGGGCACUCUAAGGGGACUGCCGGUGAUAAGCCGGAGGAAGGUGUGGGGAUGACCGUCAAUGUCUCAUGGCCAUUACGGGCUGGGCUACACACGUGCUACAAUGGCUGGUGACAGAGGGAUGCAAAGGGGCCGACCCUUCGCAAUCGUCAAAAUCCGUCUCAGUUCGGAUUGGGGUCUGCAACUCGACCCCAUGAAGUUGGAAUCGCUAAGUAAUCGCAGAUCAGCACGCUGCGUGAAUACGUUCACGGGCCUUGUACACACCGCCCGUCACACCAUGGGAGUUGCGCUUUACCUGAAGACGGUGCGCUAACCGCAAGAGGCAGCCGGCCACGGUAGGGUUCAGCGACUGGGGUG
rnacentral:rRNA from 1 species